rnacentral:lncRNA from 1 species
CCAUUCUUACUAAAAGUAUAUGUUUUCGCAGUUGCAACACCACGAGCUAGCCUGAAAACACCAGAACCACCAACAAUUGGCAUCUCUCGAUAUUCAUUCAAAAUAGGGUUACGUCCAAGUAGACUAAGUGUACUACCAUUAUAUUUCCCAUGAGUAAACACAAAAUUCAAACUCAUCAACAAACUAAAUUCCUCAAGAGAAGCUGCACCAACAAUUCCUUGAGCUCGACCAAUAGUCGUUGAAUUAAUUUCUGGUCCCGUUGUCAAUCGAUCGUCUAAUAUCGCUAGCGAGCCAAACGCCGUAGGCGAAUGAGACGUAGAAUUAGCCUGGGCAAUUGGUAUUGCCGUUGGGUUUUUACCACCAACUAUAUCGUGAAAAUAGAAAUGAAGUUUGGUUAUUUUUGGUUUUGCAUGUGACAGUUUUUGGAACCAAUUUUCAACAGCUUUAGGACCUUGUGCAAUAUUGCAAUGAGCUAAUGGAAUUGAUGAUAAUAUGACAAUAGCAAUAGAGCAAUACAAUAAAAUUGAGUUUAGCUUUGCCAUAUUUUGGUUUUGUGUUUUUGAUUUCUCCAAAAUUUAUGUAUUGUAAGCAAAUGUUUAUAGAAAGAGGGAAGGAUGACUUUAGAAGAAAAGAAUAAUGUGAUGAUUUAGGUGGGAAUCGUUGGACGCUAAUGUUGAUUAUUUUAUUCGCAACCAUACUUUCCUCGAAACAACGUAACUUCAACAUCCUAAUAAACAAAUAUUUUUCGAAAAAAAAUACUAGUUUAUAUUUUGGGUUAAGAAAAUAUUUUUUGAAAAUAAUUGGUUGGUAAGCAAACAAUAUACUAUUUCGGGAAAACAUUAAUCACUGAAUGAUAAAGUUAGGAAAAUCAAAUUAUAUUUUGACAACAUUUUGAAGUAUGAAGAAUUGAUAAUCAUGUCCAAGUGUUUGAGUACAUUAUUAAUAAAAGAAAAAUGAUAACCCCACUUAAAAAUCAGUGCAAAGUCGAAUGAAUAUCGUGUGAAGAUGUUUAAGACUUAAUAUAUAUAGUUAACUUAUAUAGUUUUCGACAUACCUAGUAAUGUAUAGUUUUUUCAGUGAAUAAUGUUCAACUGGCUACACACCCUUCACUAUUCUUCCGGAGACUUUGAUAGUACAAUCAAUUUGCCAAAAAAAAAGUCUAUCAUACUAAACACGCAUUAUAAAGUCUUUUGUAAGAGACUUCAUGACUUCCACACAGGUCACACCACUCGUGGUGUUUACGUUUGUUUCUAGACCUCCUUGAUUAAUUUAUUAUUAUAAAAUUAAUUUUUUAUUAUAAAAAAUUCAAUUUCAAUUGACGACUUAGAUUAUUUAAUAAAUGAUAAAUGAAGUCUUACAGAAUUUUCUAGAAUUGAUUAAUUUCUUGUAAAGAGUGGAUUAAAUAAUUUCUCACUUCAAAAUAAACUUGAUUUUAAAAAAAAUAUCAAUGUAUGAAAUUAUUUUGCCAUCUACUAACUAGCUAGUACAAAAUUGAGAUUAUUCUAGAUUAUAAGAAUUUAUAAAUAGAAAUAUUUAUUUUAACCGUCAACAUAUGUUUCUUAAAAAAGAUAUUAUCUAUAUCUUAGUUAUCAAUAGCAAGGAUUAAUGUAAAUAACUUGAUUGUGCUUACGGACCAAGAUUUAACUUAAUUAAUCUGGAUAAUUCGACCCGAAUUCAGAUAAAAUGGUUGUGUCCAAAUAUAUUAAUGGAGAAAGCUUUAUAUGUAUAAUUUAUUUUUUAACAUACGAUUGAUGAUCUUUCGUAUGACAUAAGACCAUCUCCAACCCAACACCAAAUUUUACAUCAAAUCCUAAAUUUGGUGUUUUGAGCUCCAAUCCACAUCAAUUUUUACAUCAAAUUUGGUGUGUGAAUAGUGUUACACCAAUUCAUUUUUUAAAUAUUUUAAUAUUAUUUCAUUAUACAAACUUUUAAUUAAACAUUAUAUAAAUUGUAUGUUUUAAUUAAAUCUCUUGUAUAUUUAAUUAUUUUUUAUGUAAUAUUUUUAAAAUAUUAAUUUUAGAUAUAAAAUUUAGCUUUUUUAUAAAUUAAUUUUUCUAUAUAUGACUUUUAAAAAAAAAAAAAAUUAUGUUAAUUCUACUAUAAAUUAUAAUUGGAUAUAACUACAAUUAACCUUCACAAAAAUUUAAAAUGCAAACAUUGAACGUAAUGCAUUAAUAGAGCAUUUAUGGGAGCACCGUAGUGAUCUUGAAAGUUGAAUAUUUAUGUAGAAUUUAAAAUAAUUUUUUCAAUUAUGUAAUGUUUAUUUAAUUGUAUUUCAUUAAUGAUUUCACUUUUAUUUGCAUCAUCCAUUAUUAUGUAUAAUGUAUAAUAUUUGCUACUCCCUCCGUCCACAACUGUUUGUCAGGGUAAGGUCAUGCACACCCCUCAAGAAAAAUUUAAUACAAGGUGUAGUUUGACUAAUAUAACCUUACUAUACCUAGAAUACCAAAAGUCCACUUAAUUUUCAAUUGAACUACACUAUCAUUAAGGGCAGAAUUGGAAAAAAGUGACUAAUUAUUUCUUGAUUGUUUAAAUUGACAAUUAAUCUUGGACAUCUAUUUUUAGUAUACCUGCCAACCAAUUGUGGACGGAGGGAGUAGCAAUUUGUAUUAAUUAAAAAAUUAUGGUACAAAAUGAUUUUAUAUUAAACGAUUAUAAAAGGAAAUAAUAUGAAUUAUAUAUGGUGAAUGUUUUAGAAAGAAUUUGUUUUAUGAAAUAAGAAAAUAUAAAUGAAAUAAGAAAUAAUAUAAUAAUAAUGAAGUGAGACAAAUAUUUUUUUUGGUGUAAAAUUUGGUGCAGUGGAUUGGAGUUGAUUACACAAAAAAUAGUGUUGAUACCAAAUUUGGUGUAAAAUUUCGUGUUUGGGUUGGAGAUUCAAGUGGACGGUUGAUCAUAUUUAGGGCCUGUUUGGAUAGCUUAUAAAGAGUAAUUUGUAAGUCAAAAGUUAAAAGUUAUAAGUAGAUGAUAACCUACUUUUGAUUUAUUUUAAAACUUUUUUGGCCUAAAAAUGGAUAUUAAAAGCACUUUAUAACCCUUUCAAACACCUUCAAAACUUUAAAAACUACUCACCCGUUCAUUUUUAAUUGUCAUGGUUUCUUUUUUUAGAGUUAAAAAACUAUAGGAAUUUUGACUAGCAUUUUACGAUGUAUUUUUUCAUCAUAUUGAUAUGCAAAAAAUUGUAAUUUAUAGUAUUUUUUGUAUAGUUUUUGAAUAUAUCUAAAUUUUUUGUUUAAAAUAUCGAAUUAAUGUAAUCUAAUUUAACUUUGAAAAUUAAUUAAAUUAACUUUUGAGGACUGUAACAUGACAAUUAAAAAUGGACAGAAGAAAAACUUAAAAAUAAAAAAUCCUAAAAAUAAGUUAAUCCAAAUGGACACUUGCACCUAAAAAAAGCAUUAAAAGCAAUUGUACCGAUCCUAUCUUGAGAGCACUUUUUGGAAAAGUCACAAUUUUAGAAUCAGCGUUUGGAGUUUAGAUAUUUGACUUCUAAAAACAACUGACAAAAAAGUUACGCGAGUUUAGAUGCUCAAGCAUGGCAUGAGACGAUUGAUUUUUCAGAUCGCUUAUAAUUUCAAUUUUUAAAUUUUAAAUCAUUUUUAUAAGACACUUUUAUUUUUACAUCUAAAAGUUUUGAAAAAGUUCCUUUUUUUUUCUAUUUAUUUUGAAGUGAUUAAAAGAUCCUAAUUUCUCUGUCAAAAAUAUUGUUUUUUUUAAAUUUUAUGUUAAUUUAAAUAAUGCUACAUAAAUUGAAACAAUGAACGCAAAAUAUUCGGUCCAAGUAUUAGAACUGUAGAGUAGGUUGGUCACCUACUUAUUGCUGUCCAUCGCAUUCCCAUGUGAGGAACAAUUAGUGACUUUUGCUUUUGCUUCUACAUAAACUUUAUGUUUGUUUAGUCUAAAUCUGAAAUAUUUUAAUGGCACAAUUUAUUUUAGUUCAUCUUUAGAUAAUGACAAUUUAUUUCAACUGUAUACGUAUUUUGGACAAAUAUAUUGAAAAAAUCUUGGGCGAAACUCCAUUGUGUGUCGCCAAAUAAUUUUUUUGUUUAAAUGGAAUUCUAAACAUGUGUUUUUUUUAAAAUAAAAAAUAAAUAAAUUUCUGUAAAUAUGAUCUAGAAAAAUAAUGAAUUUAGUAAAAAUAAGUUUAUAUAUUAUAAAGAAAUGUCACAUAGAAAUAUUAUUCAUAUGACAACGUGUGCAUCACACCUUCUUGAACCUGUUCCAAGUAAUCAAAUAUAAGAUAUAGUGAUUAAAAAUAAUAUUAGUUUGAAUAUAUAUAUAAUAAAAACAUGUCAAGUUACAAAAUUUGAAGUAAUUUUUCUUUUUCAAUGGUUAAAAUAUUUCUUUGUAGAAACAACUUCUCGAUCAAGAUUUAAUAUGACAAGAAAGUGGAUGUCAUCCCAUUUAAUUUGGUUAGUUAACGUAGGUGGUCAAUUUUACUUCUUUGCAAGAAAUAAAACAAACACUAAAAUAAUAAGAAAGAGAUAGAGUAUUUGUUAUUGACGCAUCUUUUGAAGAUAUUUUUAUAUCUUUCAAUACCAUAGUUAUCCAAGGACGUAGACCAUCGAUCAGUAUAAUAUUGACGUAGGUGUUACAAAUCCGUAAAGUUCAGGUGGCCAACCAACUAAACUACUAAGAUUUUCAAGAUAAUUACAACUUUUUUAUUUUUUAUUUUUAUCAACUUUUUGUGUUCAUUUACCAGUACAUAGCUUAAUUUAGAAAUAUAAUUUAUUUUAUAUAAUCUCAAUUCAUUGACUAUAAAACUAUUUACAUUAUUCAAAACAUUAAACAUGUCCAAGAAAGUUAGCAAUAUGUACAAUCCUAAACAUCUUUAAAUGUCUUAUUUCAUUGUUCAGAACUCAUACAUCUUAAUCCUUGACACAAAUUAAAGUAGAGAAACUAUAUAGGAAAUAUACCAAAUGAACACCAACAAGCAAAGCUUUAAAUAAUUAAAUUAAUGUGAGUAAUGCAGGACCAUAACAUUAUACUCAACAAUAGCAUCCCCACUAGUCAUAUUGAUCCAAUAGGAUUUCGCGGUGGCGAUUCCCUGAGCCAACCGAAAAACUCCAGAACCACCAAUGAUUGGCAUCUCACGGUACUUGUGAAAUACUGGGUUACGACCAAGUACACUCAGCGUGCUACCAUUAUACUUGCCAGCAGUGGCGGACCCAGGAUUUUUGCUCAGGGGGUUCGAAGUAUAAAGAAGAAGUUCAGGUGGUAAUGCAAGUGCGCGAUGAGCGUAGUAGCCCCUCGGCAUGCUCUUUGUACAAGAACCAUAGAUAUUUCAUUGGUUCAUAAAAGUAAAGACUAAGCUAAUCAAAGAUAUCGAGAACAAAGUUGCAUUGAUAAGAAUUUUAGUGGAUCGACUGUAUUACAUAAGUUAAUUCCUAAAUCACAUGAAAAUUAAAUGAUGAAAAAGGAAGCGAGACGGGGAAGAAAAAUAUUUACCUUAUCAUGCUAAAUUUAACUCACUUUAUCAUACCGUAUUAAACAUUUCUUUUUACUUUUAUCAUGCUCCAUCGAGCAUUCUUAAAAUUUCUUGUGCUUUUUAUACUUUUAUUUUGUAAUGUUUUACUUUAUAUUUCACUUUUNNNNNNNNNNNNNNNNNNNNNNNNNNNNNNNNNNNNNNNNNNNNNNNNNNNNNNNNNNNNNNNNNNNNNNNNNNNNNNNNNNNNNNNNNNNNNNNNNNNNNNNNNNNNNNNNNNNNNNNNNNNNNNNNNNNNNNNNNNNNNNNNNNNNNNNNNNNNNNNNNNNNNNNNNNNNNNNNNNNNNNNNNNNNNNNNNNNNNNNNNNNNNNNNNNNNNNNNNNNNNNNNNNNNNNNNNNNNNNNNNNNNNNNNNNNNNNNNNNNNNNNNNNNNNNNNNNNNNNNNNNNNNNNNNNNNNNNNNNNNNNNNNNNNNNNNNNNNNNNNNNNNNNNNNNNNNNNNNNNNNNNNNNNNNNNNNNNNNNNNNNNNNNNNNNNNNAAAAAUAAAAAGAAUGUGUCUAAUAAAUUUAAACAAAAAUAAAUUAAAAAGAAGAAAUGGAAUAAAAGGAAAAAAUAAUGAAAAAGAAGAAGAAGGUCUAAGCCCAAAAGUUCCAUUUUCCAAAGCUAAUAUUAAAAAAGGGAAAAAAUGUUGCCAUUGGGACUUGAACCCAUGACAUAGGGGCACUACAUGAACCACUUAUCCAUUGAGCCAAGUCUGUCCUUUGUUCUCAGGGGGUUCAUUUUAAUAUAUAUACACAUAAAAUCAGAAUUUAACGUUAUAUAUACAGUGUAAUUUUUUGACGAGGGGGUUCGGGUGAACCCCCUGGGCUCUACCUAGGUCCGCCCCUGCUUGCCAGUAGUAAACACAAAGUUGAGGUUCAUGAGAAGGCCAGACUCAUUUUGAUCAGCUGCACCAUAAAUCCCUUGGGCUCGACCCACUAUAGUCGAGUUGGGCUCUGGUCCAACCGUCAGUGGGUCGUCCGCCAUUGCAACAAACCCAAAGGUAGUCAUGUUUGCCUGGGCUAUUUGGACCGCAGUUGGAUUUUUCCCACUAGUUAUGUCAUGAAAAUAGAAAUGAAAUUUAGUUACCUUUUGCUUUGCAUGAGGAAGUUUCUUGAACCAUUUUUCAACAGCUUUGGGUCCUAAUUCAACACCUUGAGCCAUUGGCAUGGCCAUAGCAACUAUGAAGAAAAACAAUAAAACUAACCUUGUUUUUCCCAUCUCUUAAUUUUUCCAAGUCUUAACUAUUUGAGAAAGAGUCCAAUUAGUUGUAGACUUGUAGAUAUAAAGAUAUGAGUAUUAGUAUUUAUAUGUGGUGUGUGAGUGGGGAGUUGGUUGUUAAGAAAUUAAAAAUAUUUAGUUCCUUUACAUUCAGACUAGUAGAAUAUAUAAGUUGUUAGGGUGCAUGUGAUUGGUACGAAAAGAAAAUAUUUUCUUCGAAAAUAAGUGAAUUUCUUAUUUGAUCUCAGAGAUGUUAUAUGUAAGCUAGCUAGUAAACAAUAGAGUCCGCACUUUCUAACAAAGGCUAUUCCAUACUCAAGGAGACUCGAAUACGAAACUUUUGAUUAGAUAAAGUACUUAUCACUCCACCACAAUCCUUGUACGUGAAAAGAUAUAUAUCCUAUACAGCUCAGGUAUAUAUGUAUUGUCUGUAAACUCUAAAUAAUUAAUAUGCAUUACACUAAUCUGCAUGUUCCAGCAACAAUCCUUCAAACUACAACGAACACAUGUACUAAAUCCCAUUUCACACUACAUCAAAUUCAAUUUCAAACUAUUUUAAAGUUGAAUGAAAAAGAUGUAGAAGUCGUGAUAAGUUAUAAAAUUCUAUUUCAGACUACAAUAUUUACAUAUAUUGACAAAAAACUUAAUAAUUCACACAAAUCACCAUAAAAUAUAUAAUUCCUAGCCUGCGAGGUUUCAAUUAUUUGGCUAGAUAGCUCAACGAUAUUCUACGCCAUGACCUAUAGAGUCCGCCCUAUCCAUCAACAAAUCAGCCUUUAUCCUAUCUAAUCAUCUCUCCUCAAUAUAUUUAAUAUUAUCUAUCUUUCUCACACCUUCUCGCUAGAGACUUUGUGUAUCUCCUCUUCAUAUAUCCAAACUAUCUCAACCUCGUUAUUCUCAUCUUGUCCACCACAAAGACAACUCACCUUGUAUCAAAUAUAGUCAUUCUUUAUAUUAUCUUAAUGCAGAUCAUAAAAAUAAUCUGAUACAUUAAUAUUUCUCUAUCACAAAUAUAUAUAUAGGCAUUUAAACAUUCUAGGUUCUAAAUUCUAAAAUAGCAAUAUAAAUGGUAAUAGCUAAAUUAUAAAUUUAAUAUUUGUAGUGCAAAUAUAAAAUUUAAACUAAAGCUACUAAAUUCUAUUGAAUUGUAACCUUUUGCUGGGAAAAGCUACGAUAGUUUCAUAGUGGUCACCCAAACAUUAUUUCUUCGUUAAAAAAUUAUAUUGUGUAUAGAUCAAAUCUUACUUUAUGUUAGUAUAUUACAGAAGCUUAUUGCGUGACUAUACAAAACUUAUAUUAGUUAUAGUCAAUACUUAAUAUUAUUAGAAUAAUAGUAUCAUACUUAAAGAAAAAUGAUUAAAAAAUAAUUUUAUCGAAAGCAAAAUCUUGUAAUAAGGGCAAAAGAUUUCAUCAAACAUUUUUAAUCAAUAGAAAUAUCCUUAUAACUUCCAAAACAUGGUCAAAGGUCUUAUUUCAAUGAUCAAAAAGUCAAAACAUGUCUUUAUCCUUCCAACAAUAUAGAUAAACUAUAUAUAGGAAAUACAUAUUACAAAUGACCACCAACAAUUAGCAACGACCAUUCAAUUAAAUUAAUUACUAUUCGUAAUACAGUAGCAUAAUAUGAUACUCAACCACAGCAUCUCCACUAGUCGUAUUGAACCAACAAGUAUUCGCAGUCGCAAUUCCUUGAGCCAAUCGAAAAACUCCAGAACCACCAAUGAUAGGCAUUUCACAAUAUUGGUGAAAUAAAGGGUUCCGACCAAGCAUACUGAACGUACUACCAUUAUACUCUCCACUUGUAAACACAAAGUUAAGAGUCAUAAGAAGGCUAAAUUCAUUUUGAUCAGCUGAACCAUAAAACCCUUGGGCUCGACCCACUAUUGGCGAGUUGGGGUCGGGUCCAACUGUUAGUUUAUCUUCUAUCAUAUCAACUAAACCAAAAUAAAUUGGGGGUUUAGCAGUCGUAUUAGGCUGAGCUAUUGUAAUUGCAGUUGGAUUUUUCCCGCUAACUACAUCAUGAUAAUAUAAAUGAAAUUUAGUUAGCUUUUGCUUUGCAUGAGGAAGCUUCUCGAACCAUUCCUCAACAGCUUUGGGUCCUAAUUCAACACAUUGAGCCAUUGGUAUGGCUAAAAUAACUAUGAAGCAAAAUAAUAGAACUAGCCUUGUUUUCCCCAUUUUCUCAAUUUUUAUUUACUUGUAUACAAUAGUAUGAAUACAUUUAUGUAUAUAGAGUGUGUGAGUAGAACAAGAGGUGCAUUUUUACUUUUACUAAAUAUAGUUGGUCAAAAUACUUGUAAUCUUGACACAUUAUUAUAAGAUCUCAUUUGAUUUACAAAAUAAUUUUUAUAUAUAAAAAUUUAAAAUAUUUUGAAAUAUUUCUUUUGUUUUUUGUCCUCAAAACUAAUUAUAUUUGCUUUUAACUCUUAAUUAGUUCAUUUUAUUUAACACUUUAAUCAUUUUAUAUUUUCCUCUAAUAUUUCAUUACCUAAAACUUGAUUUCUAGAAAAUUUAAGUAAAUUAAUAGUAUAUUCUCUUAUUACAUAAGAGACAGUUUAGGUUGAAGCAGGCACGUCUCCGUCGACUGCCUGCUUCAGCAUGUUUUUUAAAAAAAACUUAAAAAUUUAUUUCUUUUGUUCUACUUUAAUUUAAUAGUGUAUAAUUUUUUUGAAAUUAUGAAAUUUGUUUUAGCUAUGAAUUUUAGUUUCGUCUCUGUAGACAUGCCUACUUCAGCGUCUUUUUGAAAAAAAAAACUUAAAAAUCUAUUUCUUUUGUUCUACUUUAAUUUAAUUAGUGUUAAGAGACAGGUUGUGCUGAAGUAGGCAUAUGUCUCCGACGACAUGCCGGCUAACAUGUUUUUUUUUUUUUAAAACUUAAAAAUUUAUUUCUUUUAUUCUACUUUAAUUUAAUUAGUGUAUAAUUUUUUCGAAAUUAUGGAAUCCGUUUUAGUUAUGAAUUUUAGUUUCGUCUCAGUCGACGUGCCUGCUUCAGCGUGUUUUUUUAAAAAAAACUUAAAAAUUUAUUUAUUUUGUUCUACUUUAAUUUAAUUAGUGUAUAAUUUUUUCAAAAUUAUGGAAUCCAUUUUAGGUAUGAAUUUUAGUUUUAAAUUCAAGAAGAUGUGCAUGCUUCAACGUGUUUCGAAAAAAUAUUUCAAAAAAAAUUAUUUCUUUUGUUCUACUUUAAUUUAAUUAGUGUAUAAUUUUUUCGAAAUUAUGGAAUUUGUUUUAGCUAUGACUUUUAGUUUUAAAUUCAUAUUCUUUAGUUAUUGCUUAUGAAAUCCGUUUCAGCUAUGACUUUAGUUAUUUUGAAAGUUGAUAAUAUUGCUAUAUCUUGUAACUACUUUGAGUGAGUUUUUGGAACCAAUUUUCAACAGCUUUAGGACUUUGUGCAAUAUUGCAAUGAGCUAAUGGAAUUGAUGAUAAUAUGAAUAGCAAUAGAGCAAUACAAUAAAAUUGAGUUUAGCUUUGCCAUGUUUUGGUUUUGUGUUUUUGAUUUCUCCAAAAUUAAUGUAUUGUAAGUAAAUAUUUAUAGAAAGAGGGAAGGAUGACUUUAGAAGAAAAGAAUAAUGUGAUGAUUUAGGCGGGAGUCGUUGGACGCCAAUGUUGAUUAUUUUAUUCGCAACCAUACUUUCCUUGAAACCUACUUCAACAUCCUAAUAAACAAAUGUUUUUUUUUUUAAAAAAAAGUUUAUAUUUUGGGUUAAGAAAAUAUUUUUUGAUAAUAAUUGGUUGGUAAGCAAACAAUAUACUAAUUCGGAAAAACAUCUAUUACAGAAUGAUAAAGUUAGGAAAAUCAAAUUAUAUUUUGACAACAUUUUGAAGUAUAAAGAAUUGAUCAUAAUCAUGUCCAAGUGUUUUGAGUACAUUAAUAAAAGAAAAAUGACACCCCCACCUGAAAAUCAGUGCAAAAUCGAAUAUCGUGCGAAGAAUAUUUAAGACUUAAUAUAUAUAGUUAACUUAUAUAAUUUUCAACAUAUCUAGUAAUAUGUAUAAUUUUUCGGUGAAUAAUGUUCAACUGGCCACACAACCUUCACUAUUUUUCCGGAGACUUUGGCAGUACAAUCAAUUUGCAAAAACAAUCUAUCGUACUAAACACGCAUUAUAAAGUCUUUGGUAAGAGACUUCAUGAGUUCCUCAGACCACAGUCCACACAGGUCACCACCUGUACCUCGUGGUGUUUAGGUUUGUUUCUAGACCUCCUUGAUUAAUUUAUUACUCUAUUACAAAAUUAUUAUUUUUAUCAUAAAAAUUUCAACUUCAAUGUUGAAUGUCAAUUUGAUGACGACUUAGAUAAUUUAAUAAAAAGCGAAAUGAUUUGGUGGACCCUUAUACUUGUUCGAGUUUGUAUUAUGAACUCUUUUACUUAACAUUUUACCAAGUAAAUCCUUAAACUCAAUAAAAUAUGAUAUGUCAAACCCCUUUAACUAUUGACCAGAAUUAUGUGACAUUAAGAUGACUGAGUUGGCAGAGAGUGUGACUACACCCAUGUGAAGCCAAGUCAACUUCAUAUUUAAAUUUUAAAAAUACUAAAAAAUAAAAUGAUAACUAAAAAAAAACUAAAAGAUAAAAUAAUAAAUUAAAUAAAUAAAUAAAUUUGAAAAAACUCUUCUUCCUUCAACACUACCUACUUUUCGCCUCCAUCUCCAUCCGUGCCCCAAUCCCUUUUUCUUUCUUCUCCACAUUAUUAUCACCUUUAGCAGGACAUUGACACCUCCUUGUCAUCAGAUUUCAAAUUGUUAUCACUGUAGGGAGAAAACGACGUUGAUUUUAUGGUGGUGCUCGUCGGAGUCUACUGAUUCGAAGUGGAGUAAGAGAGAGAGGUGACGUUAAUCCUUUUUCACCAAGAGGGAGGCGGCAAGGGGGUUUAUUGGUACGACGGAGAGGAUGGAGAGGAGAGGCGGACCCUGGUGGUUCGCAGGGGUCGCCGGUGAUGUGUCGGCUUAGGGUUACUGAUUUUGUGGAGGUUAGAGAAAGAGGAAAGGAAAAUAGUGAGGUUUGCAACAAAGAUGGAGACGGGUACAGGUCUCGCCCAGUGGCGGACCCAAGAUUUUCACCAAGUGGGUUCAACCUAUAAAAAAUAAAACUAAAAUGUGGCAACAGAGAUUCAAACUUGGGCUGGCUGAGAAAAUUGAACCAUUUUCACCACUCUGCCAAGGGUCACACUUGUGUUAAUGGGUUCAAAAGUUAAUAUAUACAUAUAAAAUUUAAAAAACAGAUCAAAUAUAUAUAUAUAUAUAUAUAUAUAUAUACACGAUGUUAUUUUUCAACGAAGUGGGUUCAUAUGAACCCACUUGACCCUCUGUAGGUCCGCUCCUGGUCUCGCCGGCAAGAAGAGCGGUGGCGGCGACGAUUUUCGCCCGUGGAUUUUGGAUGUUACAUGGUUGAAAUAAGGAGAGGAGGUGUGGAGUCCCAAAUUUUGCUUAAUAAAUUUAAAAUUUAUUAUUUUAUAUUUUAUUUAAUAAAAUUUUAAUUUAAAAAAAAAAUAGAUAAUGAAGAUAAUUAUGACAUGUUAUUAAUUUAUAUUAUAUUACAUAGAUUUAACAUGUCAUUGCAAGAAAAGUGUGAAUUACAUGAGGAUUUUCCUGGGGUUUAGUAUGAAAAUUUGUAGGAAAAUAAGUUUCCUACGAAUUUUCAUAUUAAUUCCCAGGAAAAUCCCAUGUAAUUCACACUUUUCUUUUAGUGUGUCAUCUAUUCAAGGGUGAGUGAACUACACACAUGAUAUGAGGGGUUUAAAAAUAUCCGUUUAAUUGAGUUUAAGGGUUUAGUUGGUAAAUAUUAUUUGGAGAAGGAGAGGUUGAAUUGCGUGUGCGAAAGUUGAGAAGUGAUUUUUCUGUCUUUAGCGAUUACAAGACAACUCAUAUAGGUGCUUGGGUUAUGAAAGACUAUGGGGUUAAAAAAUCUUGGACAAAGAUGUUUACCAUCAGGUAUCCAAAUGAUCCAGAAUGGUUACCAAACUUUUUCAUGUCAAAUAAUGGUGAAAUAUUCUCGUUGUUGUCGGGAACAACUUCCAUAAUAUACAAUUCAAAAGAUGACUCAUUCAGAUAUUCAAAUGUUAUUAACUGUCAUUACGUUAAAUAACACAAUUCAAAAGUGACUCAUUCAGAAUUUGUAAUCUGAAAUAAACUUUAGACAUUUGUGUGAUGGUAGAUCAUUUUAUUAAUGAUAAAAGAUGAAUUUUAAAGUUGUUAUUGUCAAUUAUAAAAAAAAAAGUGACAUUACUAACCGAUUGACUUGACAAAAAAAAGUAACGUUGCUAUCAAAUUACACGAACAUUAGAAUGGGAAAACGAAAAAAGAGCGUACAUAUGAGAAAAAAAAAGAAAUCAAAAUAAAAUUAGCAAUUCGGCCGUCCCAACAUAUAAUCUUUAACUCAAUAAUGCAAAACUACAACAUUAUACUCAACAAUAGCAUCUCCAUUCUUACUUAAAGUAUGUGUUUUAGCGGUUGCAACACCACGAGCUAGCCGGAAAACACCCGAACCACCAACAAUUGGCAUCUCUCGAUAUUCAUUCAAAAUAGGGUUACGUCCAAGUAGACUAAGUGUACUACCAUUAUAUUUCCCAUGAGUAAACACAAAAUUCAAACUCAUCAACAAACUAAAUUCCUCAAGAGAAGCUGCACCAACAAUUCCUUG